GUAUCAGGUUCAUAUUGCCUUUGGAUUCUUAGUGGCUAUUAUGAUUAUUUUCAUGAUGGUAUCUGGUAUUAUUUGGAGUAUUACUUUGGAUAUCAUGUGCUCAUGUCAUGUUGUUAUAAUGAUCUCAUGUUAAUUCCUGCUUAACCUGUAAUUGCCAUGCUGUUGUUUGUCUUGAAUGCUUCUGGUUAUUGUGAGCUUGCUAGUACAUUCAAUGUACUAACUUGGCAUGUCAUGCGAGCUUGCAGGUUGUGCCUGGAUUGCUUGCUUGUUUGGUGUUGUUCCUAUGUUCGCGAGCUAGGAUAAACGUUCCAGCCAGAGUCCUUGCGGAUUGGAGUCCAUCAUCGUCGUUCGUUGUUCCGCUGCCAGUAGUUGUUCCGCUGCUUCAAGUAUUAUGCUGCUUGUAUAGAGCAACCGUGGUUGGCGUAGUUUCGCUGUGCCGAUGUUAUUUAUUGUAAUAUCGGAACCCUUGUAAUCAUAUUCGUGUUGUAAUAGAGAGUUGGUUUGUUCUAUACUAAGUAGUGCCGUAUUCCAGAAGACUUCACCUCGAUCUCUGGGCUGGAAUACGGGGCAUUCCGGUUUUCUCUGAGCCGGGGUGCCACAGCGCUUGGUAUCAAAGCAGGUCUGGCUAUAGAGCGUCCUAGUCCGCUGGAAUGUUAGAAAAUGGUAGCAUAGGGUCUGGUUGUUGCCCUUGCUUGUUGCAUUUGAUUGUUGCAUUUGUUUGCUGCAUAUAGUCUUAUUGCGGUUACCAUUAACCCCUGUUUCAUGCGUAGAUGGCGGUCAACUUCCAUGAGUUCAGUGCUCUUCCCUUAGCUUCCGGUGCUGUUCCUAUUGAGUCCAGUCCCACUCCUGCGCCUCUCAGCUUUGUCGCCCUCCUUGGCGACAUGUGGCGUAGUAUUUAUCCCCUCGAAGAUCCACCUCAUUAUCAAGUAUUCCAGUUUUCUGCUGGAGGAAGAAUUCGGGAAUAUGUUGCUCAUGUUCAUCUGUCAGCCCCGAUUCCUGUCAGCAAGCGCACCUACAGUUUCCACGAUGGUUACGGCGCUACUCCUGAGCGUGUCGUUCAGCUCGCCGCAAUGGCAGGAGUCACCGGUCUUCGUCACUAAGAGAGCAUGGUGCAGGAGAACCGUGCUUAUCAAUAUUAUCCCACCAUCGCCGAGAAUCCUAGGGAAUCCAAUUUCCCUCCCUCAACCCUCAAGACGACCCGGCUAUCCUAGCCAUGUCUUGUUACAUGACGGCCGAGUGUCUUCUUAUUUCUGAGUUAGUCCGAGACGCCAUUCGGACCAGGAGAUUGCUUGGUGUCACUUUACCUUAGUCCCCGCCAGCUUCUCCAACUCCUCUGCCACGUCCAUCCGGAGUUUCAGAGUCAGCGGUUCCAGUCGCUACUCCCUUAGCUUCCUCGUCAGUUCGCGAGCGUUUGCUCAAGCGUAGGAUGUAGUCCUUCGUGUAGCGCUUGUGCAUCCGCUGUAGUAUCAUGCUUGUGUGUGUCUGUGUGGAGUAGCUUUGUAACUUGUUUGCUGUGUGCUUGUUGCAAUAAAUUGUUUUCUCGUGCUUCUUUGUUUUGAAUCCUCGGUGUUACCCCCUUAUGGAAAUUUUUCCUCGACCGACACCGAAUCAGAAGGAGCCGUAAGCAGUACAGAUAUACACCACGGAAGUCAGUUAAAAUCAGUGAGGUUUUCAGCCAACAUCAUUGUAUUGCAGACAUCCGUCCGGAUACAAAUUGUAUUUUGAUCAGACUGUCAACAACAAGUACCCAUCAGAGAUACACUUUAUCACAUCAAAGAUUAAAUCAGCAAGAGAACAAAAUUGGAUCGACAGUGCAUUUCAAGUCAAAGGUAUGGGCUAUGCACAAUGAUUGAAUCUGACAUAAGUCAAAAUUUAAAUAUUGCGACACCCAGAAGUCAGUCCAAUUGCACGGUGAAUUCAGUAAGGACAGUCAGACAAUUCUUGUCAUAUCAAUAAUCAACUGCUGGACUGACAAAUAUAUAUAUAUAUAUAUAUAUAUAUGUCAUUCCCAUCACCAAGAAAAUCAGUCCCAUCCUUCUCCACAAUGUAUUGACGAAGUGUACAAAGAUAAGGUUCCCAGUCUGCAUCGAUAGAAUGGAUUCCCAUGCAAGAUAUUCAGUCUUCUCGAUAAAAUACUAGAAAAGCUUCUGGCAUAAGGUACCGAGUCUUCCCUAGAAAGUCUUUAAGGGGGGAAUCUUAUAAGGUACGGUACCCCGAUCUCCUCAAUAAGAUAUCCACCGAUGGCUUCGAGCAUAAGCCCCCAAACCUUCCUCAGCACGAUACCCCGAUUGCUUCCGAACGCAAGCUUCCCAGUAUUCUUCUAUACGGCACUAAUACAAGACAUUAAAUUAUGAAUUGUCAGCAUAUGGCAGUGUUUUCCAAGUGGCAGAUCUGCAACAGUUUGGCCUGAAACGAAAAUCAGUCAGAACAAAGGUAUGCCUUGAGAAUCAGAUAUUAGUUCAUUCAGUAUGUUGCCAAGUCCAUGCAAGUCUCUCAAGGAAGAAUUCACGGUACACAUCCGACAACCUCACCGGUUAUUUAUGAAACAAAAACCAGUGGGUGAUGCCAUAAUCAACAAGUCUUGAAGGAAAGACCACAUUGAGACCAUAAUCUUGGCAGUGAUUAUAAAAAUCAGCCUCACAAGGUGAUAUUAUUAACCCUGUCACUGUCUGGCAUAAUCAACAACAGGAUUGAGAUAUGUAUAACCACACGUGAGCCGGAUAAGUAUACGGAGGCUCAAAACCUGAACUAGACCAAUGUAUGCCGGUUAUUAUGUGAAAAAUGUGGAUGCCCAAGACCGUCUUAUUCCACGGCAAACCCAAGCAAAGAUCCACCCAAGAAGUAUACUCCAUUGUGGUACUGGAUAGCUCAAUAUGUUAACCUCAACACCCGCGAUGGAGCUUUGCACAGACUGUUGUUCCCAGAGAGAUACUGGCAACAAUGAAGAAUCCGUGUGAAAACAUAUACGUUGAGGAUCGUUAUCUCUCGCAUAGGGGAAGCAAUGAAAGGAAUAGCCUGUGUAAAUGGGAUUCUUUGCCUAGAUCACCGGCAGACAAGUCUGCAAAUCUUAUCAUCAGGAGAUGGUGCAUUUUUUUCUAUCAGUCGCGACAAGCGACAGUCAAACCUUUGGAACAACCUGGAUACUCAAGACUGUGAAGCCAGUCAAGAUAAGUCAAAAACUCAUGCAAGAUGUCAACAUCCGUUAGCAAAAAUAGAUAUGAUCCACAUCACUAACUUGGAACUAGAAGGCAUGUCUAUAUUCGAGGAAUCCGAUGCCUGGAUAAAAGGGAUUCAUUGUUCCACGGGAAGAUAUAUUCCCCAACUCCGCGGAAUGUUCUCGGUACUCGAUACUAGAAUAACAUUUUUAGCAAGGACCAAUAUCAAGAAGGACAAGUAUGUCCGUGAAAAUAAUAUUUUGGAUGCUAGCUCAGCCAAAGAAAAUUUUGAGGGACACCCGAGGUACGUCCUGUCAGAAUGUCAGAUCCAGUGAAGCAAACCAUCCCAGAUCAAGACAAUCAGUCAGAUCCAAUUCAGUGGAAAUAUUAUGAAUAAAAGAAACCUGAGUGGGAAAAGGUUUCUUCAAGUCAGAAAGAUUAUUUAACCCUGAGCAACCAAAUCUCGAGGACGAGAUUUCUUUAAGGGGGGAAGGUUUGUAACCGCCUGGAUUUUUGCCCUUUUCUUUUUCCUUUGAUUUUCUGGGAUUUCCUGUUUUGAUUUGCUUUUCCAUGGCUAUGAGGGUCUGAAACUUGGGAAGAUCAUAUCUUCCUAGGUUUUCUAGUGGCUUGUCACCCUCAUCAUCAUCUCAAGAUCGUCUCAUUUCGAUCCUUGACCUAACCCAAAAUUCUUUUGUUGGUAAUAUUCCUUUUCUGAUAAAGGAAUAACCCUUAAAACCCUAGGUUGUGAAGCAACCUAUAUUUCUGUCACUCCUAAAAUUCCCAAAUAAUUCUCAUAAAUUUUUUGGGUCACAUCUACCUCAAAUAUGGCAAAAUAUUUCAUUGUCAUGUUCAAAAAUAAUCCUUCAAUAAUUCUUUUCCUAUUCUGCCCUAAAUGGCACUUUGCAAAGGAAGUGCUAUUUAUAUUUGUUUGAUUGACCCCAAACUUAUUGGACAUCUUUUCCUGUCCAUAUCAUUGGCUCAUGCCAAAAUUCAGCUCACUUUUCCUAGUAAAUAAUUUUCAGCAAUUUUCCAUAGUUUCUGUCUAGGAAGGAACUUAGUGAAGAAGCUAUAUUCUAGGCAUAUACAAAUGAGUUGAAAUUUUGCAGGGUCUUUCCUAGGAUCACAUAAUGACUCUCCACCAAAUAUGAGAUCAUGUAACUCAUCUAUGUGAGCCCAGCUCCAAAUUUUAGUUUCUGGUCAGAUUUUCAGUUUGUGAAGCAACCAUAUUUUAUAUUGCUUCAAUUGAGCUGAAACUUUACCAAGACAAGCUUCUACCUAUAUCAACUACUCGCAACAAGUUUUACCUCAAUUGGUUGAUCCAUUUACCCUGUGUAAUUUUUCCAAGUUUCUGUCCAGAAUGAAGCUUUGUGAAGCAAGUGCCACUUUAGUAUUUCUAAAUGGCAUGAAUUUUUUUACAGCAGCUUCAUAUCAUCAUAAAACCCCUCUCUGCUAAAUUUCAGCUCACAGAGAUCCAGUAUGUGAGUGCAUCAUCCAAAUCCCCAAUUCUGGCCAGUUUUGUACUUUCUACUGCAACCACCUUCUAAACUCCUCCUCUCAGUCUGAUUUUUGGUGAUCAGCAUCACCUUAGUGUGUGAUCAUCGCCAGACAAACUCUUUACCUUGUUACCCUGCUGGUUUAACCACGACAAGUUACAAACACCUUGUUACUGAAUUACUUUUGGAGCUAAGUGCAAAUCUCUUCUUUGCCCCUGGACCAAUUUAUUUGUUUAGUUGGACUAAGGGCACCAGGGUCCAUCCACUGGACAUGGUUGGCCACAUCAAAGAGCGCCACUUGCGCCAGUGCGCGUGGUGACCACGCUUGCGUCAUGGCUGCAGGCGUGCUCUGGCUUGUUCCGGCCACUAUGCUCGUCUUCUCCCUCCUCGUCUCGACCUCAAUUCAUGUCAUGGAGCUUCCCCGUGAUCGACUGCGUCGCCCUGCAUUGGUGCCUCGUCGUGGUUCGCCAUCAAUGCGUCGCAAACACCAUGCCCGUGCCACGCCCUGCCUCUGCCCGCCAUUAAAGCAUGGUCGGGAGCUCGCCCGUGAGCUCGAGAAGCCUCCCCUCGGCUAUAUAAGCAUGACCCGAGUCCCUCCGCACCUCACCAGCCUCUCCCCAAGCCUCCUCACCCACCAGAGCCCUCGGCCGGCUCCUCUUUUCGUCGCCGUCCACCAUGGCCGCCUCAGCCUCGGCAUGAUUCCGGCCAAACCAAGCCUCCCCUCGUCGUUCCGAUACGCCCACCGAGUUCCUCUCAUUCCACUCAGCAGCCCCACCCCCUCGCCCCUCGCCGGAGCGCCUUGCUUCGCCGAGCACCUCCACCACCCGAGCCCUGUGUAGCUUCCUCCGUCACCGCGGCCUCCCCUACUCUCCACUUCUCUACGGCGCUUGUUCUACCUCUGAACGGGACCGCCUCGUCUCCACGAACCCGAGGUGGCCUCAGCUCGACCAGAGGUGGCCGGAGUUGGCCGGGCCCUUCGCCGGAGUCCACCGCUUCGCCCCUGUCUCCGUGAGCCGCCGUUGUCACUGCCUCUUCCUGGAGCUACUGCUGCUCCAGGAGGGAGCAGCGCACCGCCCCGCGCCCGCCGGUGGCCGCACCGUGGCCAGAGACCACUGGAGCCGGCCGGCCCCUUCGCUGCGCCCUCCCCUGACCGUGUGGGACUCGCCUGUAAGUGGCCCAAGAUCUAGGUCCACGUGGAUAAGUGGAAGGGCCUUCUGGUGAGUGUGCUUUCCAUUCUCUGAAAGCAUAUUCUAUUUCUACUUCGGCCUGAAGUGCGUUUUCUAAGUCAGAAAGCGUAUUUUCUCAAAUCUGUUUCUGUCUUAUCCACUCAGGGGCCCAUUGGUGAUGAAAACUUUCACAGAUUGGUCCCUGAUCUUCUACACCUCAUAACUCCGCAACCGUAACUCCGAUUGAGGUGAAACCAGCACUCACUUCUUUGUCUCGUCGAGCUCUAUCUUUUGGUAACAUUUUCACUAAGUGGUUUCAUAGUGAAAAUGACCAUUUUACCCUUGCCUCUAAUCAGCCUCCUCCGAGAGAAAACCAUUCGAUGUUUCGUUCUGCGGCUUCACCGCACUUCUUCGUGGAGUCUCUGUCACCCCAGGCAAGCCACAAUACCCACUUGCAUGAUAGUCAUGCAGUAGCCAUGGUUUUCAACUUGAAUAUUUAUUAAAUGAUUGCUUGUUUAAAAUAUGGUUAUCGUUGUUUCGGAAAUGCUUCUGGGAUUGUGCUUACUUGUUUGUUAUGUUGUUAUGCACCUGGUUAUCCUGCCCUGCUAGUUGCUAGUAUUGCUUUCAUAUUGCCAUGCUUGAUAGUAGUACAUGUUGGGUUGGUCAUGCUCUUUGGUGCAUAACUAACGUCGGUUACCGAGUACUGUUACUAUGCGUUGUUCCUUUGCUGUUAGUUGGUUAAGUGUUACUCAGUAAUAUUAUUGAUGAGUUCUUGCAUAUUAUUUAUGGUUGAAGAUAAUGGUCAUGUUAUGCUAUGAGUAGUGUUGCACUUGUAAUAUUUAUGCUCGUCAUUAUGCCAUGUUCAGUUGGAGAUUAUUUCAUAGUUGACGUGGUGGAUAGUUAUGUUGCAUCCCGUGAUUAUGUUGAUAUCAUGCUCAUGCGUUGUAAUUGCAUCAUGUUAUUUUAUCAUGGCUCAACAUUUUGCAUUCAAAUUUAACUAGAUUUAAUUGAACUUGAACAACUAUUAGCUGAGUCAUGGUGCCGCCAGAUCGAAACUGACCACUGCAACCACGAUUACCGUUUGGGUAAGGUCCUAACUAGGUCUAUUGUCAUGCAUCUCGCCGGUGCCUCCAACUAGGGAAGGUUAUGGGCGUGCGGUACCCUGGCCCGGUAAGCAGACAUAACCUUGUGUGCCCGUUGUUUAUGUUUUUAUGGAUCCGGUCCCCGUGAGGGAGUUUUGACCACAACGGUGGUUGUUGUGUCUUUGUUAGACACAGGGCCACCCAGGACUAGCCCAGUUGGGAGUGGGUCGGAGUGGCUGGGAGAGUGUCACGACAGUAGAUCGGUUUUGUCGGAACGCCGUUGGUCCACCCGAAUGGGAGUGCGAGGCCAUGGGUUCCGUGGUGUGGGUACAGUGUGCUACCUCUGCAGAGUGUAUAUUAAACCUAUCGAUAGCCGCGCCCGCGGAUAUGGGCCCAGUUCGUGUCGGUCCCACCGUGAGUCAACAAUAUUAAUAAUAACUUGAUUAAUGACAACCCCGGUUCGGUGAUAAACUAAGUUGGUGGUGGUCGCCGUAAGGAUCACGAGUUACUUUGGUGGUGAUCGCCGUAAGGAUCACGAGUUACUUUGGUGAUGAUCGCCAUAAGGAUCAUGAGUUACUUCGGUUGUGAUCGCCGGAAUGAUCACCGUGGUAUUGAGGAUACCGAGUUGUUGGAUAUUCGUGAUGUUGUGCGAGAAUCCUGUGUAAAGAUCAAGCUCCUUGUGGUCAUUUAAUGAUUACUACGGUAUUGUUUAUACCAAGCUUAAUUUGAUCCUGAGAUGAUCGUGUAAUGUCCGAGGAUGGGUAAGUGAUGCGCGUGAUGGUUACGAGAUAACCCGAGCAGAAUAAUUGGUGCAUAUAGUUUCAUCAUGUUGCAUGCUAGUAUCGUCAGAUUUAUAUGUUCAUGCUAUGCUCAUAUUGUUCUAGCUGUAUCAGGUUCAUAUUGCCUUUGGAUUCUUAGUGGCUAUUAUGAUUAUUUUCAUGAUGGUAUCUGGUAUUAUUUGGAGUAUUACUUUGGAUAUCAUGUGCUCAUGUCAUGUUGUUAUAAUGAUCUCAUGUUAAUUCCUGCUUAACCUGUAAUUGCCAUGUUGUUGUUUGUCUUGAACGCUUCUGGUUAUUGUGAGCUUGCAAGUACAUUCAAUGUACUGACCUAGCGUGUCAUGCUAGCUUGCAGGUCAUGCCUGGAUUGCUUGCUUGUUUGGUGUUGUUCCUGUGUUCGCGAGCUAGGAU
rnacentral:lncRNA from 1 species